CCUCCCGCCCCUGGGUCGCUCUUUUUAAGCUCCCCUGAGCCGGGGCUGCGCUCCUCUAAUUGGGACUCCGAGUCGCGGCUAUUUCUGGUGUUGGCGCGGCUCCAAGAAGGCAUCCGCAUUUGCGACCGGCGGCGGCGGCAGAGCCCAGGCCGGUGCCCUGCGCCUAGCCCCGCCGCACCCGGCAGCCCCGAGCGCGCCCCGCCGGCGGCCUGCGGAGCUCGCGAGCCAGACUCACUCUGUGCUGCCCCACACAUAGAGAAGCAGAAUGAGCGAGUCGGUCUCAAAGUCCAGCCAGCCCCUGGCCUCCAAGCAGGAAAAGGAUGGGACUGAGAAGCGAGGCCGGGGCAGGCCGCGCAAGCAGCCUUCGGUGAGUCCUGGGACGGCGCUGGUAGGGAGUCAGAAGGAGCCCAGUGAAGUGCCAACCCCGAAGAGACCCCGGGGCCGGCCGAAGGGAAGCAAGAACAAGGGCACAGCCAAGACGCGGAAAGUUACCACAACUCCGGGGAGGAAACCAAGGGGCAGACCCAAGAAACUGGAGAAGGAGGAAGAGGAGGGCAUCUCCCAGGAGUCCUCGGAGGAGGAGCAGUGACCACUUGCAGUGCCGCCUGCUCCUUGGCCACUGAGGAGCGGCCUUCCCCUGGGACUGGAAGCCCUGCUCCCAGGCCCC
rnacentral:lncRNA from 1 species